UAAGGUCCCCAAGCGUGUGCUAAGUGGGAAAGGAUGUGGAGUCGCAUAGACAGCCAGGAGGUUGGCUCAGAAGCAGCCAUCCUUGAAAGAGUGCGUAACAGCUCACUGGUCUAGUGGUUCCGCGCCGACAAUGUAGCGGGGCUCAAGCACACCACCGAAGACGCGGCAGUAUUUUGUACUGGGUAGGAGAGCGUCCCAUGAGGGGCGAAGCGGCCGUGUGAACGCGCCGUGGACUUCAUGGGAGUGAGAAUGCAGACAUGAGUAGCGAGAGACGGGUGAAGAUCCCGUCCGCUGGAUGACCAAGGGUUCCAGGGCCACGUUCAUCGUCCCCGGGUGAGUCGGGUCCUAAGGCGAGGCCGACAGGCGUAGUCGAAUGGAUGAACGGGUGGAUAUUCCCGUACCGACCAUGGACCGGCAAAACCGAGACGGUGAGUACUAACCUCCGCCUCGUGGUGGUUCCUUCCUUCGGGUUGGUAUCGCCGCGUGGUGUUGGGAGCGUAGCCGCAGUAGGUCAGCGCAGGGGUGACACGGAAUGGGAGCCGGCCGCGGAGGUGGUUUUCCGUGGUCAAGCACGCAGCCAGUCAUGUAGGCAAAUCCGCAUGGCGCGCAUGGCGAGGUGUGAUGAUGGGAGCCUUUAUGGCUCGAUAUCCGGUUGUCCAGGCCGUCGAGAAAAGCCUCGGCGUGAGGGCCAUGGCCGCCCGUACCCCAAACCGACACUGGUGGUCAGGUAGAGAAUACCAAGGCGAUCGAGCGAAUCCUGGUCAAGGAACUCGGCAAAUCACUCCCGUGCCUUCGGUAUAAGGGAGACCCACUGGGGUGAAGGACCUUGCGUCCGGAGCUUUGGUGGGUGGCACAGACCAGGGGGUAGCGACUGUUUACCAAAAACACAGGUGCAUGCGAAGGCGCAAGCCGCUGUAUAUGCACUGACGCCUGCCCGGUGCCGGAAGGUUAAGAGGAUCCGUCAGCCUUCGGGUGAAGCGGUGAAUUCAAGCCCCGGUAAACGGCGGUGGUAACUAUAACCAUCCUAAGGUAGCGAAAUUCCUUGUCGGGUAAGUUCCGACCUGCACGAAUGGCGUAACGACUUCCCCACUGUCUCGACCAGGAGCUCGGCGAAAUUGCAGUACGAGUAAAGAUGCUCGUUAAGCGCAGAAGGACGAAAAGACCCCGGGACCUUUACUAUACCUUGGUAUUGGCAUUCGGUGUGGAUUGUGUAGCAUAGGCGGG
rnacentral:rRNA from 1 species